rnacentral:rRNA from 1 species
CCCCCGGGNNNNNGUUUAUGCACUUGNUCAAAAGCAGGCUCCGAAUUCGCCCUUAGAGUUUGAUCAUGGCUCAGAUUGAACGCUGGCGGCAGGCCUAACACACGCAAGUCGAACGGCAGCGGGGGAUAGCUUGCUAUCCUGCCGGCGAGUGGCGGACGGGUGAGUAAGGCAUGGGGAGCUGCCCAAUCGAGGGGGAUAACAACUGGAAACGGUUGCUAAUACCGCAUACGCCCUGCGGGGGAAAGGUGGGGACCAUUUGGCCUACCGCGAUUGGAUGCACCCAUGUGGGAUUAGCUGGUUGGUGAGGUAACGGCUCACCAAGGCGACAAUCUCUAGCUGGUCUGAGAGGAUGACCAGCCGCACUGGAACUGAGACACGGUCCAAACUCCUACGGGAAGCAGCGGUGUAGGAAUAAUUGCGACAAUGGGAGGAGACCCUGAAUGCGGCCAUGGCGUGGGGGAUGAAAAUGCCAUGAGGAUUCAAAUUAACGGGUGGGAGGGGGGAAGGACAGCGGAACAGAUAUUCUCGCUUGAAGUGAACAGAGCCCAGCGCAAGAUACGACCACGCGAGGAGGCAGGCGAGGCGGAAGAAGGAAGGAAUAGAAACGAGAGAGAACCGACUAAAAGGGACGGGUCAGCAGCCGGUGAGGGACGUGAAGGAAAGGCUAAUGACAAUAGACGAGUCUCGGAGUGCGGGACCGCGGUAAUUCGUCACAUUCGGAGGGUAGCGAGAGUAGGAAUGUUGGGAAGAGAGGCAGAGAGAGGAAAAAGAGUGGCCGUGCGACGAUAGCU